rnacentral:tRNA from 2 species
GGGCGAAUAGUGUCAGUGGGAGCACACCAGAUUGCAAUCUGGUAGGGAGGGUUCGAGUCCCUCUUUGUCCA